rnacentral:rRNA from 1 species
UACGUAGGGUGCAAGCGUUGUCCGGAAUUAUUGGGCGUAAAGAGCUCGUAGGCGGUUUGUCGCGUCUGCUGUGAAAACUCGGGGCUUAACCCCGGGCCUGCAGUGGGUACGGGCAGACUAGAGUGCGGUAGGGGAGACUGGAAUUCCUGGUGUAGCGGUGAAAUGCGCAGAUAUCAGGAGGAACACCGGUGGCGAAGGCGGGUCUCUGGGCCACUACUGACGCUGAGAAGCGAAAGCAUGGGGGAGCGAACAGG